rnacentral:lncRNA from 1 species
GCAAUGGCUGAGAAUGGAGAUGAAGAGUUCCACUCUCAGAGGAGGAUUUUGUUCUUCAAUUGUGGAGUGAUCUCUAUCACCAGUGACUAAAGAUGUUGGAGCACAGAGAGCCAUACCCCAAAAUAUGAUGCUUUGGCAUGCUGACUGCUUUGAAAAUUGAAAGGCCUCAGAAAUAAUCCUCAGUGCCAGGGUCUCCCUCUGACCUCCCCCUACCUCCCUUUCUCUCUGAUCCUGUCUCUCCCAAAGCACAGAAUGAAGCUGUUCUCUGAAUUCCCUUAUCUACCUAGAAACUGGACCCCCAAAGAGGAACACAAUUUGCCUUUGAUCCCUUCCCUGAAAUUUCAUUAACCAGAGAAAAUUAAAACUUCUAUCACAAAGGAAGAGACUGAACAUUAAACACCAUAGCUACAGCCCAGACAAACUUCUUCCCAAACCAUUGUUUGUUCUCCUGCCUGUUAAAUUGCCAGAGAAUCAUUCACAAGAUAAAGUCUGCCUUCUGGGUCCAUUCACUCCCCACUAAAAAUCUUUUACUCCUACACCCUCAUGUCUCCUUCCUCCAUGAAGAAGGGUCUAUAAACCUCUAGGCCUCAUUGGGUUAUUGGGUAAUCAUUCUCAUGCAGUUCCCCUGUGCUCUGCAUGUUAAAUAAAUUUGUAUGCCUUUUUCUCCUA